rnacentral:rRNA from 1 species
UGGCGGCGUGGAUUAGGCAUGCAAGUCGUGGGAAUCCCCAGCAAUGGGAAAAACCGGCGUAAGGGGCAGUAAGGCGUAGGUACCUACCCGGGGGUUGGGCAUAGCCCGUAGAGAUACGGGGUAAUUCCCAGCGAUGUCGAAAGACCAAAGCUCCGGCGCCCUCGGAGGGGGCUACGUGGUAUUAGCUAGUUGGUGGGGUAACGGCCCACCAAGGCGAAGAUGCCUAGCGGGUGUGAGAGCACGACCCGCGCCACUGGCACUGAGACACUGGCCAGACACCUACGGGUGGCUGCAGUCGAGGAUCUUCCNCAAUGGGGGNAACCCUGACCCAGCGACGCCGCGUGUUCGAUGAAGGCCUUCGGGUUGUAAAGNAC